rnacentral:rRNA from 1 species
GACGAACGCUGGCGGCGUGCUUAACACAUGCAAGUCGAACGAAGUGGCGAACGGGUGAGUAAUGCGUAAUCAACCUGCCCUUCAGAGGGGGAUAACAGUUGGAAACGACUGCUAAUACCGCAUACUGAAGGAGGGGACUGCGUCUGGUUAGCUAGUUGGAGGGGUAACGGCCCACCAAGGCGAUGAUCAGUAGCCGGUCUGGGAGGAUGGACGGCCACAUUGGGACUGAGAAACGGCCCAGACUCCUACGGGAGGCAGCAGUGGGGAAUCUGCCGCAAUGGACGAAAGUCUGACGGAGUAACGCCGCGUGAGUGAUGGAGGCCUUCGGGUUGUAAAGCUAUGUUAAUCGGGACGCGGUACCGGAAUAGAAAGCCACGGCUAACUACGUGCCAGCAGCCGCGGUAAUUC